rnacentral:lncRNA from 1 species
UUCCUUUGAUUCUUCAAGAAUGUAAAGUAUCUUGAUGAACUUGAUUUUGAUUUGACUCAAGGGCUUAUAAAGCUUGAUCUUGAAUCUUCUUCUUGAACUGAAUUUGUGAUUGAUCACGAACAAGUAAUUUGAUCUUGAACGCCUUAGUGUUUGAUUUGGCUUCGUUCUUGAUCUUGAACUUGAACUUGUAGCUUGAGUGCUUCAACUUUUAGCUUGUAGAGAAAUCUGCGGUGCUUGUUCCACGAGCUCUGUGCUUGGUUCUGG